rnacentral:tRNA from 1 species
CGGGACCAUGUGCAGCGGCACGCGGCGGCCUGCGAGGCCGCCUGGUUCGGGCCCGGCCAGCGGGAGAUCGUCGCCCGGCUCCGC